CAGUAACGGCGAGUGAAGCGGCAACAGCUCAAAUUUGAAAUCUGGCUCCUUCGGGGUCCGAAUUGUAAUUUGUAGAGAGUGCUUCGGGCGAGACCUCGGUCUAAGUCCAUUGGAACAUGGUGUCAUAGAGGGUGAGAAUCCCGUAUGCGACCGUGGCUCGAGCCCAUGUGAAGCCUCUUCGACGAGUCGAGUUGUUUGGGAAUGCAGCUCAAAAUGGGUGGUAAAUUUCAUCUAAAGCUAAAUACUGGCUGGAGACCGAUAGCGCACAAGUAGAGUGAUCGAAAGAUGAAAAGCACUUUGGAAAGAGAGUCAAACAGUACGUGAAAUUGUUGAAAGGGAAGCGCUUGCAACCAGACCUGCCCGUAGGCGAUCAGCCGCUGUUCUCAGCGGUGUACUCGCUCUGCGAUCAGGCCAGCAUCGGUUUCGGCGGUCGGAUAAAGACCUUGGGAAUGUAGCUUCCCUUCGGGGAAGUCUUAUAGCCCUCGGUGUAAUGCGGCCAGCCGGGACCGAGGACCGCGCUUCGGCUAGGAUGCUGGCGUAAUGGUUGUAAGCGACCCGUCUUGAAACACGGACCAAGGAGUCUAACAUCUAUGCGAGUGUUUGGGUGUCAAACCCAUACGCGGAAUGAAAGUGAACGGAGGUGAGAACCCUUUAAGGGCGCAUCAUCGACCGAUCCAGAUGUCUUCGGAUGGAUUUGAGUAUGAGCAUAGCUGUUGGGACCCGAAAGAUGGUGAACUAUGCCUGAAUAGGGUGAAGCCAGAGGAAACUCUGGUGGAGGCUCGCAGCGGUUCUGACGUGCAAAUCGAUCGUCAAAUUUGGGUAUAGGGGCGAAAGACUAAUC
rnacentral:rRNA from 1 species